UACGUAGGGGACGAGCGUUGUCCGGAAUCAUUGGGCGUAAAGCGCGUGUAGGCGGCCCGGUAAGUCCGCUGUGAAAGUCGGGGGCUCAACCCUCGAAUGCCGGUGGAUACUGUCGGGCUAGAGUGCGGAAGAGGCGAGUGGAAUUCCUGGUGUAGCGGUGAAAUGCGCAGAUAUCAGGAGGAACACCAAUUGCGAAGGCAGCUCGCUGGGACGUGACUGACGCUGAGACGCGAAAGCGUGGGGAGCAAACAGG
rnacentral:rRNA from 1 species